UCAUUUAGUUAAAUCAUCAUCAAAAUUAUGAAUCCGGCAGUAUUUAAAUUUGAUCCCUCCCCAUCUGACGAUAGAAAUGAAAAUUAUCCAUGCUGUGGGUAUUUGGAAAAUGGGGAAUAUUACAAUUGCAAUACCAUCCCAGAAAUUGAAGAGACAAAAAUUGUAUCGGAAAUUAAAGAGACAGGUCAACCCUACAAAGAAAUCGAGGUAAUGAUAAACAACAAUAGAAUAGUCCUGCGAAUUCAAAAACCACGACAAAUUGAAGAAGACGAUUCACCAAAACAACCAGAUCAAAAACCUCGAGAAUCCCAGUAUUCGAAUUUUCAAAAAGUAUCUACAUAUCCACCAAGUACAAACUCAAAAGCUGACAGAAUUCAAAAACCAGAUGAUAAUGGACCAAGACCAAUUGAAUUAGUGGCAAAUCCAAAUAUAUUUUUAUUAAAAAUUCGUAAACGUUCUUUAAACAGUGAUAAAAAAAGGGAAAAUAUUGAUUUAGAAUUUCGUAUACCAAGACCAUUUAAACCAAAACCACCUGAAAGAAAAAAAAAAAGAAAAAUUGAAUCUCCACCACCACCACCACCAGAAGUACCAGAAGAUGUUGCUGUACUUGAAGAAGAAGAAGAAAUACCAUUAAAAAAACAAAAAAAGAAAGUAACAAUGAAAAAGAAAAAAAAGAAAUAAAUUAAUGUAUGAUCAAUAUACAGAGUGAAUUAAAUUAUUGAAUGUUAAAUAUUUGAUUUACAAUUGACUAGCUCAACUACUUCAUAAUGCUUUAUAAAAAAGAAAAUAAAAAGUAAAUAAAAAAGAUUUAUAUACACUUGCAAUAUAUGUGCAUAGUAAAAGUACUUUCAUUGAUUCGCCCCAGACAAAAUUUAAGAAUGAAAAUGAAAUAAUAGAUUUACAAAAGAUUGACAUAUAAAGUCAGUAGCUAAACAUUCAGAAGCAAAAAAAUAAAAAAAAGUUCUCACGAAACCAAGACAUUUGGUUUAAGUCAGUCACCCGCCCACUACGAGCCCCAUUUUAAAGCAAGAAUAGCCA
rnacentral:misc_RNA from 1 species